rnacentral:tRNA from 1 species
GGGCUCGUAGCUCAGCGGCAGAGCGGGCGGCUCAUAACCGCUUGGUCCCAGGUUCGAUCCCUGGCGAGCCCA